GAAACCCAAAUGCUGGGGGCCCAUCUUCUCCCAUUCAGGACGCUUGGGGUCUAGGAUCCCGGCUCUCCCUUAUUUAGGGAGAUAGGGGUCUGCACUCCCAGCGCACGUCCUGGGGGAACCUCGAGGUAGCACUGAGACCACAGAUACGAAGAAGCUGAAAGUUUCUUUUGUCUCAACUGGGCAUUGAACCUAGAACCUCAUGCAUGCCGCUCAAGUGCUCCUUCACUGAGUGCACUGCCCACAUACACUUGCCUGUGGAGAAAGAUCUCAUGCAUGUCCCAAGGACUGGAGUUAACAGCAAUGUACUGCAUCACGAACUUUGAUUUCUAUAUUUUAGGUAAUUGGACUGAAGAAUUCGAUACUAUGAUGGAGCAGAUGAGAGUGGCCAUUGUUACGGCAAAUUCUACCAGAGUGGACGCAGGACUAGCCACAGGAUUAUCAUCAUGGAUUGCUGCAGCCAUGAAUCAUCUGAAGGAAUGGGCGGGCAUGGGAGCAUUAGCAGACCUUCUGGUGUUGGUCUCCUUGGUUUGCCUGUGGUGUAUAUGCAAGAUUAGAGUCUCACAACAGCGUAAUGCAGCCAUGAUCAUUCAGGUCUUUACAGCCAUUGAAGCAGGACAUUCUCCCCAAGCAUGGUUGGCUACCAUAAAAAGCUAAAAUGUUACGCUCAGGAUGCAAGGCUAAGCACUGCACUCAGGGUCAGCCGCUUUGGACCCAGAGAAGAGCAUGUCUGAUUGCAUGUGGGUUGAUGCCCCAGGUCCCGCCUCUGAGAAAAAGAUAUCGGACGGGUCUGAUGCUCUUUGGGUGGAUGACACCUAAAUGAACAUUGGUACGAAGUCCCAAUUUAUUUCUAAUAUCAGAGAUCAGACCUCUGAUACCAGCUGGUUUCUGCCUUCCACCUUCCCGAUGGUGAGUGCUCUCUGUCACAAACAACUCCAUAUUUGGCUAAGGCUGAGGAUCUGGCUUGCUUCCGUGUAUGUGGACCUAUCUGCAUUGCCCAUGAGGCACGCUGGGGUUGGCUACCCAGAGGCUAUUUAAGCUGUGGCUGGCUUUCCCCAGGGUCAGAAGAUUGUUCAAGGUUCCUGAAUAAACUGCAUUGAGAAGAACAAAAAAAAAA